UUCCUGUGGUUGUUGGUGCGACUCUGGCUGCCCUGGUGGUUCUGAUCUCAGCAGCUCUGCUGGUUUCCUGCAGGAGAAGAUCUCUGAGAGAGAGCAGAGGAAGUUCAUCUGGAUCAAACUCUGCGCGAACCACCAAUGAUGCAUCCACUCUGAAAGGUUUCUACCAGAACCUGAGCCCGGCCACCAGGGACCAGAACCAGACCUACUGCACUCUGGAGAACUCAAAUAAGAUCCUGGAUUCUGUUUCUGAGCCUCAGGAGUCCAAAGAUUUUCACCUGAGAUCUGAAGAAAAUUGAA